GGGUCCAUAGUUCAGUGGUAGAGCAUUGGACUGCAGAUGAAGAGGUCACCGGUUCGAAUCCGGUUGGGCCCU
rfam:Capsicum annuum cultivar Zunla-1 chromosome 6, whole genome shotgun sequence